rnacentral:rRNA from 1 species
AUUGAACGCUGGCGGCAUGCCUAACACAUGCAAGUCGAGCGGAUGAAGGGAGCUUUCUCCUGGAUUCAGCGUCGGACGGGUGAGUAAUGCCUAGGAAUCUGCCUGGUAUUGGGGGAUAACGUCCGGAAACGGGCGCUAAUACCGCAUACGUCCUGAUGGAGAAAGUGGGGGAUCUUCGGACCUCACGCUAUCAGAUGAGCCUAGGUCGGAUUAGCUAGUUGGUGGGGUAAAGGCCUACCAAGGCGACGAUCCGUAACUGGUCUGAGAGGAUGAUCAGUCACACUGGAACUGAGACACGGUCCAGACUCCUACGGGAGGCAGCAGUGGGGAAUAUUGGACAAUGGGCGAAAGCCUGAUCCAGCCAUGCCGCGUGUGUGAAGAAGGUCUUCGGAUUGUAAAGCACUUUAAGUUGGGAGGAAGGGCAGUAAGUUAAUACCUUGCUGUUUUGACGUUACCAACAGAAUAAGCACCGGCUAACUUCGUG